CCAAGACUCACCUGGAACAGAGUAACUCUGGAAGAUGUAGUAGACCCAGGAAUGAUGAAGAAAUUAUGCAGGUAUGUUGUGGUGAGUUUCUUUAUACUUUUAUUCUGAACACAUGUUUGCCUCUCAAAUUGCUAACUGGACUGUAAAUAAUAGAGCGCACAGAACUGUUGUUUAUUGACACUUGUAGAUAUUUCAACCAGCAUGUCUUCUUUUAUCUGUAGACUAAUAUUAUCCGAGCUGCUACCUCAGUGAUCAGUGAUAUAAAGUGGCGAAAUUUUUGGAGUCAAAACUUAUUAUAUUUAAUGGGCCCACCUCUGCUCUGCAGGACUCCUCCUGCCAAGUGUAAAUGUGCAUUAAGCAAAUCUAAAUCGCACAACUUCAGAGUGGCUUUUAGCGCUUUCUCACCAUCUGCUAAUUCUCUAAGUGUUGGAUGAGAGGACUGAAACCAUUAAAUCUGCUGUAUUUAAUGUAAUAACGUUUUAUCGCACACAAUUUGACACCAAAGGGAUUUUGAACUCAUAUCUGCUCACAUCUUUUGAUACUCUUGCAUUAGGGAUUUUGAAUAUUUUCAAAGGGAGAUGAUAUCAGAGCACGUAGUUAAAGACGCUUCUUCCUUGUUUUGCUUCUGGUUGUCUGUCUCCCUCUUCACCAGCUCUUCAGUUCAUUAUAAAUGGCACAGGUGCAGUUCAAUAAGCUCUCACUCAUCCACCUCUUCAAAUUAACACCCGGCGUUCUCCGGGCUCCUCUCCAUUGUUCUUUGACAAAACACAUCAGAGGAAAUUAUGCGCUGCCUGCCUUUUUUGGGCAACCAAACAUGGCCCACAAUCAGGAUAUCACAGUAUUUACAUAAUGAGGUCUGCUGCUGAUGCUGCGGUUUUGAAGGAGUGCAGCCAAAGAUUAAAAUAAGCCUUGAAAUAGAAAAUCCUUUUAUGAAACUUCUUUCUUCUCAAACUGAAAAGUAGAAGCACAAAAGGGUAAUCAAAAUUUUAAGUGCUGUUUUUUUUCCUGACACUGACAAGAAAAAUUCUCUGUCUCACAUGAAAUGAUGCUGAUUGAUGUUCACGAAUCACAGCUUUCCAAAUUCCAAAAGGAAGACGAGGUGAAUAAAUGGUUUUAUUAACUUGACAUCUCUUAAAAACAACCUUUUUCUUUCUGAUAUAAUCGCCUCCUUCUCUGAUCAGAGUCUGUAAACACUUCAUGACCAAUUAAUCACGAGUCAUUUGUCAGUCAGUUACAUAAAAGGGUUCAGAAGUAAAACAAACAUGGAAAUACAGAAAACUGCAGUUCCUCAUGUGGCCACUUGAGGCUGUCUCUGAAGGUGAGUCAACCCCAUUAGAGCCUAUGUUAAGGUUGAAGUUUUGGGUAGUAUUAAUUUGGAACAAGCAAAAAAAUCAAGUUAUGGUUCAAAAUUUGUCACUUUUUGAUUUUGGUUCCUCCAGGAGGACUGAAAGUGACAUAACACUUUUUUUUAAAAUUGUAACUGUAACGAUAAAAGUGGUUUGUAGGAACAUUGCUUAAAUUUUAACGUACAAGUCAGAGACAUGUUGUAGUAAUCAUGACUAUCACACCUAAACAGCCACCUCUACCAGGUGUCUCCUGGAGCACUCACCGUAUUUGAUAUGGUGUUUUUCUGCCUCUGCAUUUAUUUGCACUGGUCCGCACCGCCCUUCCAACCUCAUUAAGACAACAGUCAGACAGCCAGUCAGUUUCCCACUCACCCAGUAAUGACAUGUCUUGAUUUGAGCUUUAAGACUUCUCUGAUGGUCUAAAUCAAAUUCUCAGGUUAGUAAUAAAUUGUUUGAUUAUGGAGACUAAACAAUUGUCUUUCUUGAUAUUCUACCAUCACAAAUCAAACCUUACUAACUUGGCUGUAGCUGAAUUUAAAAUCUUUGCCAACAUGGAGGUAGAGAAUAUGAUGAACUUUCGGCUUCAGAGAGGUUGUCAACAUGUCAAAGGGUGACCCAGGAGUGACCCCGCUGUGGCUUUCUUUAAAGAUUACACAGUCAGAGGCAGCAGCUCUGCUCGUAUUCAAUAGUCUGUUUUUAUAAAGCAUCCCAAUUCUUCUGGGCAAAGUAACGCCUUACAUCAUAACUUAUUUUUCAAUAAAAAUGAACAUGAUUUCCUUUCAUUAAUACUAAUGCUCUUCCCUCACACUGCUCCUGUUUCAUUAUAAAACCUCCUCCAGUGUCUGGGAGAUCAGACGAGGGAAUAAAGCCAGUUGUUCCCUUCAGAAGUCAGACAUGAAGUAUUUGAAUGACAAUAAUUAUGCAGCAUUUCUGUGGUCGGCCUGCCAAAAUUAAUCCUUGCACUUACAAGACUUUAAAUGCAGAGUCAGAUUAAGGCCAGACAAAUCCCUGCAGACGGGAGUGAAAAUUGACUCUAUUCACUGACAAUAAAAGCGUGGAGGUAAGUAGUUCAUGGGAGUACAUCCAAUUUGGCCUAACACGUGGGUUACUGCGGCGUUCACUUCUAAAGACGCCCUCCUCUCUUCUUUGGUAACAAAUAAUGGAAAAUGACUGAUUUUGAUUUAUACUGCAUAGAUUAUUGUUCAAUAGGUUCCACUGAGUCGAAUCUAUACUCAAGAAAUAUGGUUAAAAUUUACUGCACAUGGCUCAUGAAUAACCAACAGGAAGAAAAACAUAAACAACGGCAAUAAUCCAGGGGUACUUCAUCAAAAAGUCAAUCAGACUAGCAUGACCUGGAUGCAUAUUGAUAUUUUUAAUUUGGAAAAUGGCAUAUCUCAGAGAAAAUCUGCAUCACAGUGAGGUAAAAGAGUUCCACCUGAAAGCUCUGCAGCUCAGCAGGGAAUCGAGAUCAAAUGAAGAGAGUUCACUCGUUCUUUAAUCCAAAGAGCAUCAAGCAGCUGCACAGCGGGGUCACCGGGGGCCGGUGUGGGCGUCCUUCCCCCCAGAGUCCCCCUCAGCCUCAGCCUCAGCUUCUUUCACUCCAUCUCUGUUUCUAGUGCCGAGGUGUCAGCGACUGUGGAAUCAAUUUCAACACUGGCGGCUCAGGUCCAUCUACAUUUUUCAAUUCAUUUAUACUCAUUACCAGGAAAUAGCCAGGGGCAGAGGCAAUUUAAGCACCUGGAAUAUAAAGGCCUCAAAAUCAUUUCUUGUCACACUAUUUUGAUUUGAACUGAUGUCAUCAGCAAUCAGGAGGAAUGAAACCCUUAACAGUGUUGUGGAGGCGAGCGAACAUGGCAUAGUGACAGACUAUAAUGCCGUUUAAUCUUUCCUUUUAUUUAACACAUUUAAAGGCUUUAAUCUCUGCAGAAUAACAGUGCGAACAUGUCUGAAUCUAGUCAAUCUGCAGUAAGACGUCUGGCUAAUUAAAGGAAACACCACAGAAUUCAAAAGAGAGCUUUAGUACUAAAUUUUACUUUUCAUUUUGUAAGUCAAUGAAUGAAUUGCAGAUUUAAAAACUUAUUAUUUAUCUCAUACAGGUGCAAUAAAACCCUCUUUAUUCAGUUACUCAACCUUUAUAAAUUUUGAUGGUUUGGAGUGUUACUUUUCACACAGUUUUGUAAUUUUUUGAAGUUGUACCUUUACAGAAACGUUGCUAGCCAACUAACUUAGGUUUUAUAGCUUACAUUAGCUAUUAUUUGCUAAACUGCUGUUACAGUGUUACUUCAUGAACGGUCUUAGCAGAUGGAAAAACCCGAGUAUUAUUAGUCGAGACGCAAAUCCAACUUUGUUAACAAAGGAGUCCUGAGUAGACUAGCUACUAUGACCAUCUUUCUUAUUGCCACUAUUGAUUUAUUGCAAUAGUCUAAAUGUAAGAUUUAGUUCGUCUAAAUGUAUCUCAUGUAAAGAUGUUAGUCCGACUGAAAUUACACUUAACUCCUCAUAGAUUCUUAAUUAUAUCUAAAAAAUGUUGAUUGAAUUUAUCAUCAUUUAUAUUUGAAAAAAGAGUUUUUAAGUGUUGAAUUUGGCUUUUAAACCUUGCCUGUCUUUUAAACUUAUAUUGUCCGCUGAAUCAACAUCCAGAGGGACUUUUUUUAGAUUUCACAUACAAACAGGGCAUCCAAAAGGUGUUUAGAUCAUUCAAAAAUGCAACUACUUUUACAAUUUUUCAUGCAUUUCUCAUGGAAAGGAAAUCAGAGUGAUUUUUUUAUCUUAAGGGGCAGCUGGAGGACACUGUUAUACAUGUUAUUCACUGUACUGGCAUCCAGGCAAAACCUUUUAUGCAUUUUAUGUUUAAAGGGCAGCCAUAAGCUCUUAUAUCUACAUUUCAUCCACUGUAUUGGUAUCUAGAGGGAGCUUUUCUACAUUUCAUAUACCGAGAGGGCACAUUGUGGUUCUCAAAAAGAGCAGCUGCUCAAGAAUGUUUAACAUUUUCCAUGGAAAGGUCAGCACAGAGGGCAUUUAAUAAUGUUUAAUUUACAUCAGGAGCAUCCAAAGGGCACUCCUGCAGCGCCUUUUCAGACAACAAGAGGGAAAAAUAACCUUUUUUAAAUCAAUACAAUUGUUUUCUGGGUCAAUAUAUGGUUUUAACAGGGCAAGACACUUUCUGACCAAGGUUCCAAUCAGCUGUAGCAUCCUCCUCACUCUACAUGUUUUAUUUAAAGUAAUGAAAGUUUUCAACUGCACCAUCCUUGCUACAUUUAUACAUUUCAAAUGUCUUUGAACGCAUCAAUGAAUGCUCAAGGUUAGAUUUAGCUGUGUAGCUGCGGUAAAAGUCUGAACAAAUGUUGGAAUUCCAGCAAUCUGAUAAUGGGCAGAUUUUAAAAGAACUCCUCUACCAUGAAACAGAGUGGUGAAAAAAGGACAAACAUCAUUUUGGACUGACUCAGAUAAAGGUUCAUUGUGAUGCAGGUCAUGAUAACGGCACUUUUAAAGCUCCACUUCAGCAGAGUAAGCGCUGGCCGAGCCUGACAAGUGACUGAAGCAUGUGAAGAGCAGAAGAGAAGUAAGAAAGCAAACAAUGAAUGUGCAGCUUGUUUUCUCUGUGGAUGGAAAGUAUGAGCCUGAGCAGUGUGCUUGGAUUCCUGCAGAGCUCCUGUCGAAAGCCUUGUAUAAAGAUGAAAGCGGGCAGUAAAGUGGUCUUAUCUUUGAUCCCAGUCCGCUCCCUCUAAGACUGCUUAAUAGAAAGCUCCUGAAGCUCGCCUCAGGUGAGAUACAAGCGGAAAACGUGCGGCAAAAUAACCAGCUUGUUUACUCUCUUGUACUUGUAGACUGCUGCUCAAAGACUUUUAUGUUGUCAGGUUGGAUGAGUGGUGAUGAUGAAAGAACAUGACGUGUCGUUUUAAAGGAUCAACAAAGAGAUGUCGGCAAUCAGAAAGAAAAGCCUAACAGCGAGACCAUGCAUCUUUUAAAAGGUGAAAAAAGCACUCUGGUCUUCUAAGAAACAGCAGAAAAAGGAGAGCAUCUCUGGGAUAUGCACGCAAGGAAUUAACUGGUACAACCUCAGUUUACCUCGUCUGG